GUCUUUGGCCAUGCUACCCUGAACAUACCCGAUCUUGUCUGAUCUCGGAAGCUAAGCAGGGUUGGGCAUGGUUAGUACUUGGAUGGGAGACCACUGAGGAAUACCAGGUGCUGUAGGCG
rnacentral:rRNA from 1 species